rnacentral:rRNA from 1 species
UACGUAGGGUGCAAGCGUUAAUCGGAAUUACUGGGCGUAAAGCGUGCGCAGGCGGUUCUAUAAGACAGAUGUGAAAUCCCCGGGCUCAACCUGGGAACUGCAUUUGUGACUGUAGAGCUGGAGUACGGUAGAGGGGGAUGGAAUUCCGCGUGUAGCAGUGAAGUGCGUAGAUAUGCGGAGGAACACCGAUGGCGAAGGCAAUCCCCUGGACCUGUACUGACGCUCAUGCACGAAAGCGUGGGGAGCAAACCGG